rnacentral:rRNA from 1 species
GACGAACGCUGGCGGCGUGCUUAACACAUGCAAGUCGAACGGAAAGGCGCUGCUUUUGUGGGGUGCUCGAGUGGCGAACGGGUGAGUAACACGUGAGUAACCUGCCCUUGACUUUGGGAUAACUUCAGGAAACUGGGUCUAAUACCGGAUAUGAGCUCCUGCUGCAUGGUGGGGGUUGGAAAGUUUCGGCGGUUGGGGAUGGACUCGCGGCUUAUCAGCUUGUUGGUGGGGUAGUGGCUUACCAAGGCUUUGACGGGUAGCCGGCCUGAGAGGGUGACCGGCGACAUUGGGACUGAGAUACGGCCCAGACUCCUACGGGAGGCAGCAGUGGGGAAUAUUGCACAAUGGGCGGAAGCCUGAUGCAGCAACGCCGCGUGCGGGAUGACGGCCUUCGGGUUGUAAACCGCUUUCGCCUGUGACGAAGCGUGAGUGACGGUAAUGGAUAAAGAAGCACCGGCUAACUACGUG